GACGUUGUGGCUGAGUGGUUAAGGCGCUAGUCUAGAAAACUAGUGGGGUUUCCCCUCAUGGGUUCGAAUCCCAUCGACGUCG
rnacentral:tRNA from 1 species